UAGGACUGUACCCAUGGCAUAUGGAGGUUCCCAGGCUAGAAGUCUAAUCAGAGCGGUAGCCGCCAGCCUGCGCCAGAGCCACAGCAGUGUGGGAUCCGAGCCGCGUCUGCGACUUCCACCACAGCUCACGGCAGCGCCGGAUCUUUAACCCACUGAGCGAGGCCAAGGAUCGAACCCUCAACCUCAUGGUUCCUAGUCGGAUUCGUUAACCACUGAGCCACGACGGGAACUCCACAUUUUUGAAGAUGUUUAGUUAAUGGGAAUAUUUAGUCUAAAUCUGAGAUGCUCAAACAAUGUGGUACCAGUGCCAGAAUGUACACAAAAGACCACAAUGCAAAGUUCAGAAAUACGCUUAGCGGUGUGUAACGGCUGGAUACACAGUGAAUGGGAUUUCCUCCUAGCAGGGAAAGGAUAGAUGUUCCAAUAAAUGAGGUUGGGGUGAUUUAGAAAAUAAAUUCCACAUGGAUCAUAUAUUUAAUCAUAAAUACUGAUGAAAAUUCAUAUGACCUUGGAAUCAGAAUUGCAAAGAUCUGCAUAAGCAUGAGAGCAAAGGUUGCAAUCAUAAAGGAAAAGAUAGAUUUGACUAAAAAUUUGUUAAAUGAACUUUUAAAAAAAUCAUACGUGCAACUUUAAAAAAAAUACAUUUAUGGGAGAAAAAAACUUAGAAAUCAGUGAGACAGCUAAACGCUUUCUGAGGAAACUGGCCAGAGAAGAUGAAUAGGUAAACGACAAAAGGACAUAGUCUAAUAAAUAUUUUGGCUAGCGAGGGUCACACUUGAAUCAAAAAAUGCUUAUCGAAAUUAGCCUCCAGUCCCCAUGGUAACACCAGCGUGAGAGAGGGAGUCGAACAUUCUCACACGUUGCUAGUGGGACUAUAAUUUGGUAUCGUCUUUCUGGAAGGCAAUUCGAGGCAAGGGAUGUUAAAAGUCCCCAAAACAGGCGUACUUUCUUACGGUCACACCGCAGGACCAAAUUAACCCUGACAUCCCAGUGCUGUAACACGUACCGCUGAGCCUUUCUUCACGCUACACGUCCGUGCAGGUGGGUGUCAUGAUGGGAGACGGGACACUCCACACUCCUUGGCCAGGAUUAGUACCAGGGCCCCAAGUGACUUUAAAGGGCUGCAAAGGGGCAUCUCCUGCGUGUCCAGGAGGGAGAGGAGGGGAUGGAGCUUGUAUUGUCCAUCACACUUCUGAGCCAGCAGGUCUAAUUUUAGAAAAUUAUCCUCAUAUUCUGAAAAAUUCAUCAUCUCAUUGAGUAUGGCAGUAAAAAAAAACUGGAAACAACUUAAGUAUCCAAGGUGCUACCUACAUACAUGUUAAAAAUGAAGCAGUUACAUACUUACUGGCAUAGAAAUAUAUUCACAAUAUAGCGUCAAAAGGGAAAAAAGCAAGUUAUAAAACAGUACGUAUAAUAUGAUUGGAUUUCAUGGAUAAAGGUAGUAAAACAAAUACAGCUGCAUAGAAAAAAGUCUGAAAAGAGAUAUACCAAAAUGUUAACAGUGGUUAUAAUCAGAUGGUGUAAUAACAGGUGAUGUUUUUCCUUUUCACGCAUGUGCAGUUUCUUUUUUUUUUUUUUUAAAAAAAGCAUGUAUUAGUUAUGUACCAAAAAGGCAUUUUAAAAAGGAAAAAAAGAAACAAAACACAAGAGUGUUCUUCAGAGAGUCCACUUAUCCACCUCAUACAGAUCAUUCAGGUCUUAAAUUUGAUGCAAGAAAUGCCUACUUGUCAGUCACACCAUAAGACAUUGCUACACCUAUUUAAAAGUCAGGACUUUGUACGAAAAGUGGUACAACAGGGUAAGAACAGUGACACAUUCCCCACAGCUGCAUAUCAUCAGACCUGUCAAUCAUCUGCUGAAACGUUCCCCACCCCCGUCUGGGCUCCGCCAUGGCUUCUCUGGGCUCCUGCCAGGUACACUAGGGCCGGUGGCCCAGGGGCCACUCUUCACAAGGCUCUGCAUUUGUCAGAGAGAGUAGGGCACUGGAUGAACUCCACUCAAAAGAUCCACAGGAGCUUCUCAAAGAUGGAUUCCAGAACAUACAACAUCACUACCUGGAUGAUUGCAGACUCCUCGUAGCUGUACAUAUUUUUUUAUUAACAUCCUCUCUUUGUUGUUUCUCCUGCAUCUCUCUGCUGCUUCCUCUCCUAACACACACACACUCUUCAAAGUUCACUAGACUGUUUCAUCCAGCUGCCAAAUUCUUACCAGAGUCAUCUGUUGCCUGGCUGGUGUUUAAAGCGGAACUGGAAAAACCCAUAUUCUUGAGAUAGGAGCAUGAAAAAAGACAGAGAAAACAACACACAUUCCUAUAUGGGAUUCCCCUCCAUGCCGUCACCCCCACCAGCCCCAGAAUAUGUAAUAUUUCUUUAGGGGAGAAACCAUGUACUCAGAAAUCAGGGUCCUUUAAAACCAUGCAAGUCACUUAAAAGUAUAUAUGGACGUUGAUUUGCAAGCUUUUCAUUUAAAUCAUCUGUGCUUCAAAAGCCAGUGCCGUUUCAAGUGAGUAAAAGAAUCCCAGCCUUCUGAAGAGCAUGCAGCUACUUUCCGGGAUGAGCAGAGCACC
rnacentral:lncRNA from 1 species